rnacentral:rRNA from 1 species
CGUUUGUUGGUCGUCACUUCUUAGAGGGACUAUUGACUAUUAGUCAAUGGAAGUUUGAGGCAAUAACAGGUCUGUGAUGCCCUUAGAUGUUCUGGGCCGCACGCGCGCUACACUGAUCAAGUCAACGAGUUUACAACCUUGGCCGGAAGGUCUGGGUAAUCUUUUGAAACUUGAUCGUGCUGGGGAUAGUCCAUUGCAAUUAUUGGACUUCAACGAGGAAUUCCUAGUAAGCGUGAGUCAUCAGCUCGCGUUGAUUACGUCCCUGCCCUUUGUACACACCGCCCGUCGCUACUACCG